UAUAUAUAUAUAUAAUAUGACAUUUGUAAUGUCUUUACUGUUUUGAAACUUCUGUAUGUGCAAUGUUUACUGUUAAUUUUUGUUGUUUUUCACUUUAUUUAUUCACUUUGUAUGUUGUCUACCUCACUUGCUUUGGCAAUGUUAACACAUGUUUCCCAUGCCAAUAAAGCCCUUGAAUUGAAAUUGAAUUGAAUUGAGAGAGAGUCAGGGAGAGAGAGAGAGAGAGUCAGGGAGAGAGAGAGAGAGUCAGGGAGAGAGAGUCAGAGAGAGAGAGAGAGUCAGGGAGAGAGAGAGAGUCAGGGAGAGAGUCAGGGAGAGAGAGAGAGAGUCAGGGAGAGAGAGAGUCAGGGAGAGAGAGAGAGUCAGGGAGAGAGAGAGAGUCAGGGAGAGAGAGAGAGUCAGGGAGAGAGAGAAAGACAGGGAGAGAGAGGGAGAGAGAGAGAGAGAGAGUCAGGGAGAGAGAGAGAGUCAGGGAGAGAGAGAGUCAGGGAGAGAGAGUCAGGGAGAGAGAGAGAGUCAGGGAGAGGGAGAGAGAGUCAGGGAGAGAGAGAGAGAGUCAGGGAGAGAGAGAGAUUUCAGGGAGAGAGAGAGAGAGUCAGGGAGAGAGAGAGA
ensembl:lncRNA